CAGUCGCCGCGGGAAUACGUAGGUGGCAAGCGUUGUCCGGAAUUAUUGGGCGUAAAGGGCUCGCAGGCGGUUUCUUAAGUCUGAUGUGAAAGCCCCCGGCUCAACCGGGGAGGGUCAUUGGAAACUGGGAGACUUGAGUGCAGAAGAGGAGAGUGGAAUUCCACGUGUAGCGGUGAAAUGCGUAGAGAUGUGGAGGAACACCAGUGGCGAAGGCGACUCUCUGGUCUGUAACUGACGCUGAGGAGCGAAAGCGUGGGGAGCGAACAGGAUUAGAUACCCCCGUAGUCCCUGUCUCUUAUAA
rnacentral:rRNA from 1 species